UUUUCAUCUUUCUCAAAUUUCUUUCACUCUUCUCAAUCUCAUCACUUUCUUCCCUCUCUUCUUCGACAGCUGCCGCCACCACCACCAGCAUACAUCAGAUUCUUCCAUCCCUGUCGUCGUCGUCAGUUUCUUCCAUCCCUUUUUGAAUAUUGCUCACAAACCAAGAGAUUUGGGACCGAUCUUGCACAAAAACCCGUCGGAACAUCGCUACCUUGUCGGAACAUCGCUACCUUGUCGUAAGAUCAGCCCCGACGCCAGUCGGGACAUCUGUACCCCUUUAUCGAUUUAUUCUCAAUCUCGUAAUUUAUUGAAGUCGCACGCACUGUAAGCCUUCCUCGUGGCCUGCUCCACGACCAAGAGAAAGAAGCCUAACCCUGAAGCUUAUCAAAUGCCUGCUAUUGUAGUUUCCAUAAAACUAUUGGCAUGGAUGAGGAAGUAUCCAUAUCCAAGCAUCCUAUGAUCAAUCAUUUGGACGUUAGGAAUGCAUCAUUUUCUGUCAAAAGAUUUCCAAGAAGGUUGUUCUCACAUUUCAUUGGUUUCUAUCCCAUCUUGUUAUAUGCAUAUCCUAGUUUCGGUGCACCAAUGAUGGAAAUGCAAGAACCUGACAUAGUUCGGACACUAAAGCUUGACAGUGGAGUUAGGAUUCAAGAAGUUUUUGAGGGAGAUGGAGCAGAAGCACAUGAAGGAGACAUGGUGGAGUUCAAUUAUGUCUGCAGGCGUUCAAAUGGAUAUUUUGUUCAUAGCACCGUUGAUCAAUUCAGUGGAGAAAGCACACCAGUAAUCCUGCCUUUGAAAGAAAAACAGGUUUCGGCUGCGAGGACUUGCAAUUGUAUAUUUGUAUAUAUUUUUUGCUUCAGCAAAGGCAGCGUGACAUUGAGUUUAGGAAAUCUGAUAAUGAACAGAGAUAGAGCCAUAAGAACAACCAAGAGAUAUAUUGUUCUCUUAUCUAUGUAAUCAAGCAAAUCACAAGCACCAAAUAAUAUGUAGGAAAUUGAUGGUUCAAGUUCAAGCUUCAGUCAACUGUUUGGAAUUGAAGUUUAACAAGGAUCUACCUUCCGCAUUGCGCAAUAAAAGUUAUGUUUGGUAACCAACCCUUUACUUUAUUAAUUAGUAAUCAAAUGUGAAUAUUUCUACUAGCAACUAAGUCAUAACAUUGUUACUUAAUUGAACCUUCUUGAUGUCUUUUACAGGGAGCUAUCACUAAACAAAUGACUGCAAUAGAAGAAAUAGUUGCAAGUGAGUACAAUUAGCCAGACCCUCAUCUUUGUGACAAGAUCUUGAAGUUGGUCAUUUGUGAAGCGUUCUAGUUUACUAUUAGUUGCAGUUUUAGUUAUUGCUCUCUCAAUAUAUUCUUUUUCUUUCUUUUUUUUCCCCCAAAGGAUGAUCAGUGUAAUAAUUAAACUUCAUAAUUUCUUUGUGUUUGGAGCAAGUUGUAUAUAAAUGUACACAUUAUUAAGAUUUUAUUUUGUAUAUGUACAAGUAAAAGAUUUCAUUUUUAACUA